rnacentral:misc_RNA from 1 species
GAGUAGGGUAUCUAGCAGGAGGGCAUUACAGUUACUCCACGAUUGCAUGCAACUUAAUUUAAGUCCAAGGAUUCUAUUGCUAUCUGAUGAUCACAGAUAAUGUUGGAAUGUACUUCUAGCUGGCAAUCAUAUUAAUUUUUCCAUGGGAAGAUUUUGCUGAUUUGAUCAGUCAAAUUGCAUUUCCUAAGGCUGCAAGUCCAGCAAUAUCUCUGCUGUUCUUUGAUACGCUUAUACUGCAUAGUUGUGUGCUUCAUAGAAUUGGAUUUGGCUUUGGCUUUACUGAGACAAAGCAUGUUUAAUUGAGCGACUUGCUAGUGUUUUCACUGAAUAUUCAGUGAUAGGUGGAAC